CCUACGGGUGGCAGCAGUGAGGAAUAUUGGUCAAUGGACGGAAGUCUGAACCAGCCAUGCCGCGUGCAGGAAGACGGCUCUAUGAGUUGUAAACUGCUUUUGUACAGGGGUAAACCUGAAUACGUGUAUUCAGCUGAAAGUACUGUACGAAUAAGGAUCGGCUAACUCCGUGCCAGCAGCCGCGGUAAUACGGAGGAUCCAAGCGUUAUCCGGAUUUAUUGGGUUUAAAGGGUGCGUAGGCGGAUUGUUAAGUUAGAUGUGAAAGGUCGGAGCUUAACCCGGGAACUGCCUCUAAUACUGGUGAUCUAGAGAAUAGAAGCGGUAGGCGGAAUGUGUGGUGUAGCGGUGAAAUGCUUAGAGAUCAUGAAGAACACCGAUUGCGAAGGCAGCUUACCAAUCUAUAUCUGACGCUGAGGCACGAAAGCGUGGGGAGCAAACAGGAUUAGAUACCCGGGUAGUC
rnacentral:rRNA from 1 species